CACGUAGGCACCAAGCGUUGUCCGGAUUUAUUGGGCGUAAAGAGCUCGUAGGCGGUUCGGUUAGUCGGGUGUGAAAACUUUGGGCUCAACCCAAAGCGUGCACUCGAUACUGCCGUGACUAGAGUUCGGUAGGGGAGUGGGGAAUUCCUAGUGUAGCGGUGAAAUGCGCAGAUAUCAGGAGGAACACCAAUGGCGAAGGCAGCUCGCUGGGACGGUACUGACGCUGAGACGCGAAAGCGUGGGGAGCAAACAGG
rnacentral:rRNA from 1 species